AGGGAUGCAAGGCAUUGUGGGCCGGGCCGGGGUGCUACGGAAGCUAAAGUCCUGGUGCCCGCGACCCCCGCAACCCCGGCCACGCAGGUCCCUGCGCUACCCUUGCCCCCACCCCAGCACGGCGCCCGUACACAGUAGGCGCUCGAUGAGUCGGGCCGAGCGGAUGGGUGCUUGGGCCAGAACCUCGCAGCCACCCUGACUCCUUUUGGAUUCCCACAUCCAUCCCUUUGGCAAAUCCUGUGGGCUCUACCUUCAAAGUUGAUCCAGAAUCCGACCUGACCUACUCCCGUGUCACCACCACUCUGGUCUUGUUUUAGAUUUUAAAAAAGCUAUAUGAAAUAACCACCAAAUGCAAUGCGAAAUAAAAACGUGUAAAAAGACA